GAUUCCCGGACUAGUACUAUGUUCAUAACCACACAAAGAUGCAUUUAUCAGCAUAUUUUCUUUAAGUCUUCAUCCCAAAUUCUCAAGAUCUUGUCAAAAUUUGACAUCAAACCACUUCAUAAAAGACUCAUUUCUUGAUUCCUGAUCAUAGCAUUUUUGUGUAGCAAAAACUCAUCGUAUCCCAGGAUUUAUUUAUUUUCUGGUGUAACCAUGUUCUUCCCAUGGUGGCAGUGCCUAAUUGCUUCUCUCACUGUACUCUUUUGCUCUGUGAAUCUUGGCUGCGCCGCCACUUUGGCCACCGAUGAAGUUGAAACACUUAAGAAAAUUGCAGAGACUUUAGG